UUAGUAACAGUAUUGAUCAUAGUCAACUGGUUAGUUACCUUGUAGGCUGACGUCACGUGACCAAAAUUGCAGAAAGCGCAAUGCUUUCUUGGCAUAUAUGCACAUUCUGCUAAACUGUUUUAGGAUCUUUUUUGAACAUAAGCAGUCACUUAGAGAUGUAGAGAGUAUUUGUAUAGCUAGAAAGUAAUUGUGUAUAGGAUUAGCACAAUCAUAUUUAGGAAACGUUGAAGAUCGGGAUAAGUUGUAACAGUUAUGUUGACUUUUUAAGGAGUCUUGAGCUUGCUUGUAGCUUUACCUUGGAUACCUUAGACUUCUUUUUAGGUAUGCGGUCCAUAUCUGAUACCUAUACGUCAAAAAUGUACAUUGUCACUAACAAGCUGUCAUCAAAUACAUGCAUUUGUAAUUAAACUUCGUCUAGCCCCUAUAUACAAUUAAUUUCUAGCUAUACAAAUACUCUCUACAUCUCUUACCGUCUGCUUAUGUCCAAAAAAGAUCCUAAAAAAUUGCCAAGUAAGCAUUGCGCUUUGGACAGCAAUUUUGGUCACGUGACCAGUUAAUUGCGUUUUACCUCUGCCUUUUUACUAGCAUUUGCGUGAGAGUUGAGUAAAUUACCAGUAUAUUGAUCGUAGAGUCAACAUAGUUUAUUAUAAAGGGUUAAUAAAUAGAAGAGGGCAUGCAACAGCUUGCGAGCAAAAACUGUAAGUGCAUGGGCGGUGGAAUUUACUGGAAAAGUACAAACUACUUCUGAUUUUGUGUAAAGUACGUGUGCAGAUAGCUAUAAAAUAAAUUGAAUGCAGUUUUGCUCGCACAUUAAACUAAUAGUGAGUUGCAUGCCCUCUUCUCUUUAUCAGCCCUUGCAGCUAAUUAAGGUACAGAUGUUUUCACAGUUCACCCUGUACACAUCACCUGCUGUAAAGACUAGCAGUAUUGAUUGUAGUCAAGCAUUGGUUACUCUUAGGCUGUAGCCUGACACAUGUAGCUACUACUUGGUAGUAGCAUUGAUUGCAGUCAAUAUUGGUUAUGUGUAUACACGCUGCCUUAGUAUUAUAUGGACUUUAAUUGGUAGUAUAGUAUUUGUAACAUGUACAUGCAGUCGGUAUUGGUUACACAUGAGAUGGCUUUAGCUUUGUCCAAUUAUUUAGUCUGGGAUCAUUAAUUAGUGUGUGUGUGUGUGUGUGUGUGUGUGUGUGUGUGUGCGUGCGUGCGUGCGUGCGUGCGUGCGUGCGUGCGUGCGUGCGUGCGUGCGUGCGUGCGUGCGUGCGUGCGUGCGUGCGUGCGUGCGUGCGUGCGUGCGUGCGUGCGUGCGUGCGUGCGUGCGCGUGUGUGUGUGUGUAAGUACAAUGCAGUAGCAAACGAUAUUGAGGGUAGCAAUGAGGAGGAGGAUGAGGAGGAACUAACGCCGGAAAAGAAGAGGCAGCUCAUUGUUCGGGUUGCUAAGAGACAUCAGGGAGAUGCCAAUCUGCUGCAAUCACUUGGUUGUGAGAUGGCUACAAUGAUGUUUGUUGAUAAAAAGGUUUUAAGUGUGGGAACCACAGAUGGGAAAAAUUUCUUCAAUCUCACCCUGCAAUCCUGUCAUCCUUCAGCUCCUACUUUCUGUAUGAUGACUUGUCCAAGAAACAAUUUGCUACCCCAGCCACUGCAGCCUCGGCAAGUACAACCAGUCUCAACACAAAUUCCAGCUCAUUCAAUGUUACCUCAACAAACGUAAACCCAAUCAACACCACCUCAUCUACUACAUCCAAAGCUGUUAUUUCCACUGUGAAGAAAUCAACCACUAAAACUACAACCAAAGCAACACCUUCUGGAAUCUUGUCCAAUCAAGCUAUUUCUAACACUGAUACCGUCAGUACGAUUUUUACGAAAGGCAGAGAUGGAAGUAUUGUUGCGACAGGUACAGUGCUUCCUGGUGUACAUAAAACCAUUCAUGGUCGUCCUUGCCAAAAAGAUUGUGAAACGCUUUCCGUUGUGGAUGUUGUACAAGUUGGUGCUGAAGCUUGGUUUGAAGAUGCUUUUGGGGAAAAUAAAUUGAGCACAGGGAUCAUCGUGGAAUGGCCGAGCAGUAUGAUAUCAAACGUAGCUGAUGUCUCCCCACUUCAUACAAGAACUAAUCGCAAACGUAAAUAACCAGCUGACUAUAAAACUACUAUGAUAAUUGUUAUAAUUAUUGUAUAUACAAUUGUAAUAGGAAUGGUAAAGGUUUCCUUCCAUUUUAUUCGCGAUUCUAUAUUCUCUCUAUCUUGUGUACUGUAUACGUAAGUAAGAUUACGUUAUUAUUGUUUGUACGUACGUAUAUAAUUAUGUAUGUACAAUUGUAUGUAUGACAUAGAUAAUAAUUUAUGUCCGAGUUUAGGACUAUAUAUAUAAUUGUCAAAACUA